rnacentral:lncRNA from 1 species
GCUGAAUAUGGAGCAUCAAAAAGUGAUGUUGGAUCUGCAGAAAUUACCCAAGGAGAUUAAUGAGGCCUUGCAGAAGUGCAAGCAGCUUACUGAGGAAACUGUCUCCUGCAGGAUUCUCCACAACCAGGUCCUGAAUGAGUGGACUCAGCUGAAGGAAAAAGUAAGGGUGCUGAGAGAGGAGAACAGAAAACUUCGACGGGAGCAGAUUUCACUACAAGAGUCCAGUGAGGAGAUGAAGAUGCUCUGUGGGGAGGCCCAUGAGAAGAUCUAUGAACUCUCGGCCAAGGAGAUGCUGAAACAGGAAAAAUUGGAGGAAAGACUGCAAUACCUGCUGAAGCAGAGAGAUCUGGUCACCAAGCAAAUGAUCCUGGCAGAAAAGCUGCAGCAUCACUUCACGGUCUCCCAGAAGAGGUUUGAAAACCUCCGGCGUGAACUGGAACAGAUCACAGACCAGGGUGAGAGCCUCCUGCCGAUGGAGAUGCUGCAGCAGGAGCAUUGAGUGUAAGUGAGCCACUAUUGACUCCUACCCCUGCAACCUUGGUAUUCAUGGGGAGCAUUUUCUUCCUUGACAUUGGUUUCCUGUGAGUGAAUUGGACCUGGUUUUGUCUGCACCAUGGUCCAGUGAGGCUGCCUAUGUGUCUGAUUGCCUUUCCUUCUCUGACAGCACCCCUUGCAAGAACUGGGAUGUUGAAGGAAGCCACAUAUAUUUUCCACUCUAGCAUCAACUCUUGCUCAAAAAGGACACCUCCUUAUAACUGUGAACUAACAAGGAAAACUAAAACAUACUACAUGGGGAACCUUCCCCUUUCUGAUCCAUGUGUCUGAUGUUGGCCUAUUCCCGGAGACAAGAAAUCAUCAGAAAGAAGCUUGCGAUUCAGAGGACCCACCCAGACUUACUCAGAAUGCAGACAUCCAUCAGCUGGUGGCCCCGAGUGGGGCACAGAAGCAUGGGGGAGCGUAUGUUACUGAGCAUGGUUACUCUGCCAUUUUCCUCUCCAUGUCUUUAGUAAGCUGACUGAGUCCUCCUUAUGUGGUGAGAAACCUGACAAACAGACUGUAUGGAUGCCAUGCUGUUAUGUAUACAUACCACAUGGAAAAGAAUAGGAUUGCCUCUCCAGGGAAGGGCUGAAGCCAACACCAUGCACCACAGAGACUCCAGCACUCCUCACACCUUGUGUUAGUUGUUGGAUCUUCCAUGAAUAAAAUGACUGGGGAUUCCCCAGUUUCACAGUCUGCACUGGCAUGACCAGUCCUGAGAAAGGAUUUAUACAGGAGGUCUCAGACACUUUUGGAUAGACAAAUGCUCUCUGAUGAUUUGUUGGGUCUAGAGCAAGAGAAUAUUGUUAACUUAAUUUGAGGGUGGGGACAUCUGGUUUUGGCUCGGGUUUUGUUUGAUUAGGAUUUUUAGUUUUCUUUGCCCUUGUUUGAAGUUUUGUUAUUAUUUGAUAAUUAUUUUGCUGUUGUCAUUGUUUUCAUAGUUGACUAAGGCUAUACACUGUAUAUACUUCCUGCCCUUUUUCAGCACUUGUUGAGCAAAAUGAAUAUUUUUAUUCAUAAAAACAAUGUUGUUGUAUUCUUGUCACUCCAGAACACACAGGUAGGGUUGGAACUCUCUAAUUUCCUGCAGCCUUGGUGACACAGUGAGUUUUCACUCAGCCAGGAAUUCACAGGCAGAUAGGACCUCAUCCC